rnacentral:rRNA from 1 species
CACGUAGGGCGCAAGCGUUGUCCGGAAUUAUUGGGCGUAAAGGGCUCGUAGGCGGCGUGUCGCGUCGGGGAGUGAAAGCCCGCUGCUUAACGGCGGGUUGGCUUCCGGUACGGGCAUCGCUGGAGUGCGGCAGGGGGAGACUGGAAUUCCUGGUGUAGCGGUGGAAUGCGCAGAUAUCAGGAGGAACACCGGUGGCGAAGGCGGGUCUCUGGGCCGUUACUGACGCUGAGGAGCGAAAGCGUGGGGGAGCGAACAGG